AAUAAUAUCACAGUAGGUGU
rnacentral:miRNA from 1 species